UGAGCAAGAUUUACUUUAAGAUUAUUGAGUAAAAUUAGCUUUCUGGUAUUUUCCACUGUCUAAUGAUUAUGCUUUAACAAAGUGAUCACACUCCACUGUUGUCCAAUUCCCA